GGGGAGUUCACCCACAUUACUGGCAGGUCAGUCUGGUUUUAAUAUUCUGCCCUGAAUUUACUCACCUUUUUUCCCAGCCAGUCUUGCCGUGGCUGGCCCAGCCUCCAUGUCAGAGAUUAUCAAUCUUGAUGAUCUUAGCCAAUCCACUGCUUUCCCAUUAUAAAGUAUUAAGAGGGUUUUGCGCAUGCACGCUAAAAGGUACUGCACACUGUUUAGC